CCUACGGGUGGCAGCAGUGGGGAAUAUUGCACAAUGGGGGAAACCCUGAUCCAGCAACGCCGCGUGAGUGAGGAAGUAUUUCGGUGUGUAAAGCUCUAUUAGCAGGGAAUAGAAAAGAAGGUACCUGAAAAAGAAGCCCCGGCUAACUACGUGCCAGCAGCCGCGGUAAUACGGAGGGGGCAAGCGUUAUCCGGAUUUACUGGGGGUAAUGGGAGCGUAGACGGAAAGGCAAGUCAGAAGUGAAACCCCAAGGCUCAACGAGGGUACUGCUUUUGAAACUGGCAAACUAGAGUGCGGGAGAGGUAAGUGGAAUUCCUGGUGUAGCGGUGAAAUGCGUAGAUAUUAGGAGGAACACCAGUGGCGAAGGCGUCUAACUGGACCGAAACUGACGUUGAGGCUCGAAAGCGUGGGGAGCAAACAGGAUUAGAUACCCUUGUAGUC
rnacentral:rRNA from 1 species